rnacentral:tRNA from 1 species
GUCCCCGUAGUUCAACGGAUAGAACAUGGGCUUCCGGAGCCUAGGAUACGGGUUCAAUUCCUGUCGGGGACA